rnacentral:lncRNA from 1 species
UCAUUUCAAUUCUGUAUCGUGUUCUAGCUCAAUCCUCUGACUCCCCAUCUCAAAACCUAAAUCAUUUAAUCUCUCUCAUCAGCUACUCUAAAUUGCCAAAACCUAAAUAUUCUUAGCCGAAUCACACCCUAAGUACGGCCACUCUCAAUCGAAGGUCAAUCGAACCAAAGGCUUCUCUCAAUCGAAGGUUCCUCCAAUCAAAGCACAAAUAGAAAGAUGGCGAUAGAGAUCGAGAAGCAAAACGAAUUAGCGAGGGAAGUGAGUUGUUCAACAAAAUUGUGAAUAAUUUUUGACUGUGUUCUGGGUUUCAUGAACUUUUAGGGGUUUAUUAUAUAGGGCUUUUUAUUUGUGUUAAUUAAUAGAUAUAUAGUGGAAGUGUUGAUGGUAUUUUUCCUGGGUUACACUUGAAUUCUCUAUCAUUUGGGGGUACUCUCUGUUGAUUAUGUGUUGUUUGUGAUGAAGGUUCGAUUUUUCUUCAAGCUCUGAUGAUUUUUUUUAUUGAUUUUGGAUUUCUACAGGUUUUUAUGUAGGCAGGAUCAGUGAAUGUUUUCCAUUUUAAGUUAUUGAGUUGAAAUUGUUGAGUUUUAAUGAAAUUGAA